ACAGGAGUAGUUCAGUUUGGUAGAGCACCGGUCUCCAAAACCGGGUGUCGGGAGUUCGAGUCUCUCCUCCUGUGC
rnacentral:tRNA from 1 species